rnacentral:rRNA from 1 species
UACGAAGGGGGCUAGCGUUGUUCGGAAUCACUGGGCGUAAAGCGCACGUAGGCGGAUCCUUAAGUCAGGGGUGAAAUGCCGAGGCUCAACCUCGGAACUGCCUUUGAUACUGGGGAUCUCGAGUCCGGGAGAGGUGAGUGGAAUUGCGAGUGUAGAGGUGAAAUUCGUAGAUAUUCGCAAGAACACCAGUGGCGAAGGCGGCUCACUGGCUCGGUACUGACGCUGAGGUGCGAAAGCGUGGGGAGCAAACAGG